UGGCAGCAGUUAGGAAUUUUGGGCAAUGGCCGCAAGGCUGACCCAGCAACGCCGCGUGGGGGACGAAGGCUUUCGGGCUGUAAACCCCUUUCCCAGGGACGAUGAUGACGGUACCUGGGGAAUAAGCCCCGGCUAACUACGUGCCAGCAGCCGCGGUAAUACGUAGGGGGCGAGCGUUGUCCGGAUUCAUUGGGCGUAAAGCGCGCGCAGGCGGCUUCGUAAGUCGGCCGUGAAAUCUCCAGGCUCAACUUGGAGGGGUCGGGCGAGACUGCGGAGCUGGAGGCAGGUAGAGGGCGGUGGAAUUCCGGGUGUAGUGGUGGAAUGCGUAGAGAUCCGGAGGAACACCAGUGGCGAAGGCGGCCGCCUGGGCCUGGCCUGACGCUGAGGCGCGAAAGCGUGGGGAGCGAUCCGGAUUAGAUACCCGGGUAGUCCACGCCGUAAACGAUGGGCACUAGGUGUCGGGGGUAUCGACCCCCCCGGUGCCGUCGCUAACGCAGUAAGUGCCCCGCCUGGGGAGUACGGCCGCAAGGCUA
rnacentral:rRNA from 1 species